UCCGGUGUGCGCCAUCAAGUUAUGUUGUGCUGUUGCUGCCUUGUCACUGCCUGUCAUUUUGAACAAAAUAUCAGGUGUAGAAAGUCAAGGUUUGGUGUUUAUAAAUAACUAACAACAGGAAAGCUUGUUGGAAGUCUUUGUACAUGGGAAAGAAAGAAAUUACAGCAGAACUAACAAUGAGGAGGAAGGCAUUUGCAAGAUGGAAACUUCCCUCAGGCCUUGGUGGAUGAGUUCUUGCAUAGCCAGACACUCCCUGAACUUGACCUAAGUUGGAAACAACCAGACAUUGUUAGCUUCAUUGUCAAAUGCUAUCAUGAUUAUUCUUAUCUAAGAAGAUGCUUGCUACUCCAGAUGCUGCAAGAGCCCAUUGCGUUUCCAUCCUCACAAUAAUGUAUUCUGUAAUGAUGUAAACAGUUAAUAAGAAACGAGGGAUACAGUUUGGUAUCUGUUUCAAUUCUGAGUUUAUUUUGAAAAUUGAGGAAAUAUCAAGAUGCAACAAUCUGUGGUUGCCACCAUGAAGGCAUGCAAGCAGUGUGGCUUCAUAUUCAACAAGAGUGCUAAACACACCUCUGUAGAAGGAAGAGUGAUAGCAAUUCGAAGGGAGGACCAGUCUGUGUGGGAGAGGAGGGCACCACUUGCACCAUCUAAUGUACGUCGUCUUGCUCGUGCUGGAGUCAAAGUCAUUGUACAGCCAUCAAAUAGAAGGGCAUAUCCAAUGCAGACAUAUGCUGCAGCUGGAGCUGUGAUCCAGGAAGACAUUUCUGAAGCAUCAGUGAUUUUUGGUGUGAAGCAAGUCCCAGUAGAUCUGCUUAUCCCCAACAAGACUUAUUGUCUGUUCUCACACACAAUCAAGGCACAGGAUGCAAACAUGCCUCUGCUGGAUGCUAUACUGGAGAAGAAUAUACGCUUGAUAGAUUAUGAAAAGCUGAUGGAUGAACGUGGGCAGCGUGUGGUUGCAUUUGGAAAAUAUGCCGGAUUGGCAGGCAUGGUCAAUAUCCUGCAUGGUCUUGGAUUACGACUCCUGGCCCUUGGCCACCACACACCAUUCAUGCACAUAGGACCAGCACACAACUACAGGAACUCAUCUAUGGCUCGACAGGCUAUAAGAGAUGCUGGGUAUGAGAUAGCUCUGGGAAUGAUGCCUAAGUCCAUUGGCCCUCUGACUUUCGUGUUCACAGGCAGUGGGAAUGUGUCUCAGGGAGGCCAGGAAGUGUUUCAGGAGUUGCCACAUGAAUAUGUCCCACCAGACAUGCUAAGGAAGGUGGCAGAGCAUGGAUCUCACACUAAAAUCUAUGGAUGUGAGGUGCGGAGAAGGCAUUAUUUGGAGAGAAAAGAAGGUGGAGGAUUUGACUCUGAAGAAUUUGAGAAGUUUCCAUCCCGAUACAUCUCAACAUUUAGUAAGAAGAUAGCACCAUAUGCUUCUGUCAUCAUUAAUGGCAUCUACUGGGCAGUUGAUUCGCCCAAGCUGCUCACUAUUCCAGAUGCCAAAACCCUACUCAGACCUGCAAACACCCCAUGGCUUCCAUCUUCAGUUGGCUCUCCUGCUUUGCCUCACAGAAUGCUGGCAAUCUGUGAUAUCUCAGCUGAUCCAGGAGGUUCUGUUGAAUUUAUGAACGAAUGCACAACAAUUGACACACCAUUCUGUUUGUACGAUGCAGAUCGGAACAAGGAUACAAAAAGCUUCAAGGGCCCUGGCGUGCUGGUGUGCUCCAUAGAUAACAUGCCAACUCAGCUCCCUAGAGAAUCAACUGAUUUCUUUGGAGACCUUCUUUACCCUUAUGCAUUUGACAUCCUUCAGUCUGAUGCCACUCAACCCCUUGAAAAGCACAACUUCAGCCCUUCUGUGGCAGGAGCCAUUAUUGCCAGUAAUGGAAAGCUGACUCCAAAUUUCCAGUACAUACAAGAUCUGAGAUUAGCUAACAGGAGCAGCAGGCACAAAGUAUCAGGUUCAGAUGGGGAGGCACCAGCUAGCAGAGUUAUUGUACUGGGUGCAGGAAUGGUGAGUGCACCACUUGUGGAAUACCUCCACAGGGGCAACAACCUAAAUAUCACUGUUGCUUCGGCAUUGAAAGCUGAAGCAGAUGCUAUUGCUGGCCGCUUCCCAGGAGUUGAACCAGUGCUUCUAGAUGUUGUAGAAAGGGCAGACAUGUUGCAGGAUUUGAUUGGGGCCGCAGAUCUUGUUGUGUCACUUCUUCCCAGUCCUCUGCAUUAUCUGGUGGCUGAGGCCUGCAUAAAUGCUGGUGUGCACCUAGUUACAGCAUCAUAUUGUACUGAUGAACUGAAGGAUAUGCAUGACAGAGCUGCUGAGAAGGGCAUCACCAUCCUGAAUGAGGUGGGCCUAGACCCAGGCAUAGAUCAUCUACUUGCAAUGGAGUGCUUUGAUGAGGUGCAUCAGGCUGGUGGCAAGGUUGAAUCUUUUAUUUCAUUCUGUGGUGGACUACCAGCUCCUGAGUGUUCAGACAAUGCUUUGCGUUACAAGUUCAGCUGGAAUCCUCGUGGUGUACUACUCAACACACUGGGCACAGCAGCUUAUAUUCAGAAUGGACAGAUUGUUCAGAUUGCUGGAGGACAACUCAUGAGAGAAACACGUUCACUUGACUUUCUACCAGGAUUUGCUCUGGAAGGCUUUCCAAACAGGGAUUCCACUAAAUAUGCUAAACUGUACGGCAUUGAAAAUGAAUCACACACUGUUCUGCGUGGAACACUGCGUUUCCAAGGGUUUGCAGACACAAUCCAGGGUUUGCUGCUUCUGGGUCUGAUGGAUCCAAAUCCCCACCCUGCACUGCAUCCAAAGGGACCUGAGAUAACAUGGCGCCAGCUGGUGUGUACACUGCUAGGUGUGGUAGACCCCUCCAUCUUCUAUGAGAACCUCAAGACUCGAGUAGCAGCAUGUGUAGGUACUGAACGUGUCAGCGCCAUUGAAAGUCUAGGACUUUUAGAGGAAGAUCCUGUUCUGAAACUUGGCACUCCUCUUGACAGCCUCAGUCACUUCCUGUCAAGAAAAUUAUUCAUAGAAAAUGGGGAGCGUGACCUGGUAGUGUUGAGGCAUGAAGUGGCAAUACUGUGGCCUGAUGGAAAGCGAGAACUUCGUGCUAUCAAUUUGGUAGAGUAUGGUGAAAUUGAUGGACAUUCUGCCAUGGCAAAAGCUGUUGGCUUUCCUGCAGCAAUUGCAUCAAAAAUGAUACUGGAUGGUGAGAUACAACAAAAAGGAUGUAUUCUACCACUCACACCUGAUAUCUAUAGACCAAUAUUGUCCCGCCUGCGAUCAGAGGGACUCAGAGCAAAAGAACAGUCAUGUUGGGUUUGAAUUAUGUAAUACCUCACAUUUUCCUCACUUCAUAACAGUCUGAAGACAAAUAAUAAAUCAUAUUUGUUCACAACAGUAUUUGAAAACAGAAAUAUCGAUAUAGACUGAAGACUACUGGCAAGAGUUUGGUGGCAAUAAUGAAAGAGUGGAGCUAGAUAUUUGAAAUUUUGCAUGGAGAGACUAUAAACAUGUCUGCACAUGCCUUGUAUAUUUGAAAUGUUGUUGUAAAUCAAUAAUUACAAACAUGGUUUAGAUUUGAAACUUUGAAAUUACAUCCCACAAGUUUAAUGUAGACAGAAUUCUAAGAAGUCCUUCACAAAAAUGAAAUAAAACAAAAAUAACAAUAUCUCAUAAUAGAAUUUUAGUGGAAUUCUAUGAAAUCUGAAAGUAAGAUUGAGUUUGGGCCGUGCCAUAGCUGAAGCGGUUAGUCACUGGCUUCCCAUCAUAGCGGCCCGGGAUCAAUCCCAGGUCUGGUC